UAACGCGUGGAUAACCUGCCUCACACAGGGGAGUAACAGUUAGAAAUGACUGCUAAUACCGCAUAAGCGCACGGUACCGCAUGGUACAGUGUGAAAAACUCCGGUGGUGUGAGAUGGAUCCGCGUCUGAUUAGGUAGUUGGUGAGGUAACGGCCCACCAAGCCGACGAUCAGUAGCCGACCUGAGAGGGUGAUCGGCCACAUUGGGACUGAGACACGGCCCAA
rnacentral:rRNA from 1 species